UAUUAUUUUGAUUGUAAAAUUACAUUGCUUGAGUAGUGUUAGUUAGGUUCUUUAAACUCAAAGAAUUUGGCGGUAUUGUAGUCUUUCCAGAGGAAUCUGUCCAGUAAUUGAUACUACACAUUUUAUUUUACUUGGUUUUGUAUUCAGUUUGUAUAUCGUCGUCAGAAGAUUAUCUUUUUAGAGGUUUAAUUUUCUAGAUAUUAUUAAAAUAGGAUGACAGAUCAAGGUGCAGCUUAUGACUGAGUUGAGAUGGAUUACAAUGAAUUUAUUUAUACGGAUUUUUUAAUUAGAUUUUUAAAGGAAGGUGGAUUUGGGGGUAAUUUUAUUGUAGUAUAAUAUUAUGAUGUAAGCUCUAUAAUGUGUACAAAUCGCCCGUCGCUCUCAUGAUAAAUGAG
rnacentral:rRNA from 1 species